CAAACUGGGAUUAGAUACCCCACUAUGCUUAGCCAUAAACCUAAAUAAUUAAAUUUAACAAAACUAUUUGCCAGAGAACUACUAGCCAUAGCUUAAAACUCAAAGGACUUGGCGGUACUUUAUAUCCAUCUAGAGGAGCCUGUUCU
rnacentral:rRNA from 1 species